rnacentral:rRNA from 1 species
UGGGGAAUUUUGGACAAUGGGCGAAAGCCUGAUCCAGCAAUGCCGCGUGUGUGAAGAAGGCCUUCGGGUUGUAAAGCACUUUUGUCCGGAAAGAAAUCCUUGGCUCUAAUACAGUCGGGGGAUGACGGUACCGGAAGAAUAAGCACCGGCUAACUACGUGCCAGCAGCCGCGGUAAUACGUAGGGUGCAAGCGUUAAUCGGAAUUACUGGGCGUAAAGCGUGCGCAGGCGGUUUGCUAAGACAGAUGUGAAAUCCCCGGGCUCAACCUGGGAACUGCAUUUGAAACUGGCAAGCUAGAGUCUCGUAGAGGGGGGUAGAAUUCCAGGUGUAGCGGUGAAAUGCGUAGAGAUGUGGAGGAAUACCGAUGGCGAAGGCAGCCCCCUGGGCCAAUACUGACGCUCAUGCACGAAAGCGUGGGGAGCAAACAGGAUUAGAUACCCUGGUAGUCCACGCCCUAAACGAUGUCAACUAGUUGUUGGGGAUUCAUUUCCUUAGUAACGUAGCUAACGCGUGAAGUUGACCGCCUGGGGAGUACGGUCGCAAGAUUAAAACUCAAAUGAAUUGACGGGGUCAUAGCUGUUUCCU